CUCAGAGGGAGGCUUGGCCGUGCUGGUUGAGUGAAUCUCCUUGAUUGGACCAGGAACAGGGCUCUUCUGGGGCCGGAGCUCAGAUGUUAACCAUGACUGGAAGGGGGCCACAGACCGGGGCCCCGCAGCGCUAGGGGCUGCACAAAGAACGGAGAGACAGGCCCUGCCCCAGGAAGCUUCCAAUCUCUCGUGGCACUCAGAGGGUGGCUCUCGGUGUGGCACUAACCUGGGAUGCCCUGGAUCCUGGCCCUUUCGGGAGAGGUGGGAGGAGGAGCUGUUUCCUUCCCAAGAGCCCCUCGAAGGCAGAAGCGUGGUCCAGCAGGGUCCCCGGGCAGCUUCAGACUGAGGGAGAAGCGGGUCCGACCACCCAGCGCUUGAAUCAAAACGCCCUGGCUGAAAACAAAAAACAGGAAGGGGCCCUGCGGAGAACACCAGAGCGGACCAGUUCUAACCACCACUAUGGGUGAUACUUCAUCACAUGAGAUUCAAAUACCCAGCAUUCCCCCCCACCCCGCUUCCUGCUCUCACGUUGUACCUCACUCCACCUCUGCCCCCAGCCGCUGAGCGGCCCUGUGUUCUCGCACCGUUUGCCCCUGGGGGUGCAGCUGCUUGCUCUGGGGAAGCGGAGAAACCUGCUAAUAUCUGCCCUGCAGCCUAGUCAGAGGCCACGCACAGCCCCGGGAUAGAGGAGACCAAGAACGCAACCCUUCAAACAACCCCAAAGCCAUGAUCUCUGCCCUCCAAUCUGGUCAACGCCGCCAACAUUUGGGAGAGGACGGGAAACCCCCCGGCCACUCGGUUCCUCCCGUUGCCAGGAUCCCAGGGAAAGGGCUCUGGGAAUCCCACCCCAACGCCAAGAUAUUCCCACCCGCCCCACCUCAAGUCACCGGUGGCACAGGCCUUGCCCCCAGAGCAGGGCGGUCUCUGGAGAGCACCCUCUGCCCCACAGCUGCUGAAUCAACUUCCUUCUUGUGCCGGGUGCCCCUGAUUCCUGUCUCCGGGAUGUUGCAUGGUCAGCGCGGUUGCUGGGUGCCACGGAAAUGGCUCCGGGGCUUCGAACAGUGCCCGGAACGGGACGACAGGCGGUGACACUGGACAGGCGGGGACACUUACAUGUGCAGACAGGCACGAUACACCUGAUAGUUCCCUGAGGUGGGGGAGGAGCAUGGUCUCUGCCAAAAGCUAAGGACCAGCCCAUUGUCCCGGUUCCUGCGAGAUGUUUGUACAGGGCAUAUUUUCAGCAAGAGGUAACAGGUAGACUGUUACCUUCCGAAACCGCUGGGGAUGAAGGCCGGCCCCGGAGGGUCGCAGCUAACCCCAGCCAAGCGUGCCAUCUAUCAGCCUUUUCCCAGCCCCGUCUUUACAGUCUGGAGCCAGGGCAGGCCUGAGCACCCCCAAGAAUGGACUCCAAACGGGGGAGCCUCGGGGCUGCAGGACGUUCCCGAAUCGCCCUGUCACAGAGUCCCCGGGCUCCCCCGGGGCUGCAGGACAUUCCCGAAUCGCCCUGUCACAGAGUCCCCGGGCGAUGCUCUGGAACUGCUCCCUACGAAGCCAGGCAGGACUCUGGGGAAGUCUCCUCUCUGAGCAGCCUGUCUGCAGGACACACAGCUCCCCCGGCUCCACCUUCCUGGGUCUGACCUCGGAGCAUUCAGCAUCCUCUGCCCCUCCCUGCGCUUCCCACAGCGAGUCCGCCCAGGCGGGGUCCGAGGGCGGCCAGAGGGUCCUGCCCCCCAACUUCGCAGUCAGACGGGACUCUCAGCCAGCCAGGAAAACAGAGGUUUAUUAGAUGACAGGAACAUGGUCUAAAGCAGAGCUUGUAGGUGCAGAGAACAGGACCCCUCAGCUGGGUCCAUUUUGGGGGGCAGUGAGCCAAACAACCACGUCUGCCCUUCACUCCAUGUCUCCAGCCAGCCCCAAACUGAAACUCUCUCCAGCCCCUCCUCCUCUGGGCUUUGUCCCUUUCCCGGGCCAGGAGGCCACCUGAUUCCUUUGUUCUCCAACCCUUUAGCUCUCACCUUGCAGGGGGGAAGGGCCCAGGCCAUCAGUUGCCAGGAGACAGAGUGUCGCCAUUUAUGUACCCUGGCCCUUUGCUCUGCAACAAUCACACCCCCUUAUCCCACCACCGAGAGACUUAAGAAAUGCAUGGGGGAAACUGAGGCACCCCUACAGUAUUCAGAGGAAACAUUAAGAACAGUCCCGCUUCGUCACACGCCCCGAUGCCGAAAAGAGGCAAAAAGUCUGGGACUGUCGGCGGAGGAAAGAGGGCACAGACGCGCUCCGUUACAGAGGAGAUCCCCUGCCAUCCGGUGUGUCUCGUGGAAGGUGGCCAAGGGCUGUCAGAAGCGGGGGAGGAUUCCUGAUCAGCUAGGAAAGCGACUGUUAAUAAGGGCAGGCCUGUGCCUGCCAAUUCUGUUUUCCUUUUACCCAGAAGCUUGACUCCAAAGCCUUUCCCUUGCUUUUAGCUGAUUCUUUAACUCGAGCCUCAUUCAAUAAACUUUGGCUUGGUUUUACCGGAGCUCCGGCUCCGUGCUUUGUGCUAAGGGGCGGCAGGCUGAACCGAGGUGAAGCCAGUAAGCUGGGGUGCACUGCUGCCAAGGGACACUGCAUGUGUCCCGAAGA